rnacentral:sRNA from 1 species
GCACAAGCAGUUUUGGUAUCCUGGCGC